rnacentral:rRNA from 1 species
CCUACGGGAGGCAGCAGUGAGGAAUAUUGGUCAAUGGGCUUACGCCUGAACCAGCCAAGUCGCGUGAGGGAAGACUGCCCUAUGGGUUGUAAACCUCUUUUGUCAGGGAGCAAUUGGCGCUACGUGUAGCGUUAUCGAGAGUACCUGAAGAAAAAGCAUCGGCUAACUCCGUGCCAGCAGCCGCGGUAAUACGGAGGAUGCGAGCGUUAUCCGGAUUUAUUGGGUUUAAAGGGUCCGUAGGCGGAAUGCCAAGUCAGCGGUAAAAUCGCGGGGCUCAACCUCGCUCCGCCGUUGAAACUGGAGUUCUUGAGGGAGCGAGAAGGAGGCGGAAUGCGUGGUGUAGCGGUGAAAGGCAGAGAUAGCACGAAGAACGCCGAUUGCGAAGGCAGCAUAA